CAGUAGCCACGGUAAUACAGAGGGUGCAAGCGUUAAUCGGAAUUACUGGGCGUAAAGCGCGCGUAGGUGGUUUGUUAAGUUGGAUGUGAAAGCCCCGGGCUCAACCUGGGAACUGCAUCCAAAACUGGCAAGCUAGAGUACGGUAGAGGGUGGUGGAAUUUCCUGUGUAGCGGUGAAAUGCGUAGAUAUAGGAAGGAACACCAGUGGCGAAGGCGACCACCUGGACUGAUACUGACACUGAGGUGCGAAAGCGUGUGGAGCAAACAGGAUUAGAUACCCCUGUAGUCCCUGUCUCUUAUAC
rnacentral:rRNA from 1 species